UGAAGGAUAGGGAAAACUUCGUCUGUGCGACCCAAGUUACGUAAAACAGUAGCUUUAAUCAACGCCUGACAAAUAUCGUCGUCUUGAUCUUGCCAUGGUUCCAUCCGUUCAACAUCGAACUUAGAUAGCUCAUCAUCAGUCAUUCUACGGAAACCGUUCCAAACGUAAACUAGUUCAUAUAAAGGUGAAAAUCCAACGUACUCGGCAAGACCA